GCCAUUUUAACUCAGUGGUAAAGUAACGCCAUGGUAAGGCGUAAGUCAUCGGUUCAAAUCCAAUACAGGGCU
rfam:Arabis alpina cultivar Pajares Aa.chr3_contig_1759, whole genome shotgun sequence.